rnacentral:rRNA from 1 species
AUUGAACGCUGGCGGCAUGCCUUACACAUGCAAGUCGAGUGCGAAAGGGGGCAACCCCGAGUAGAGCGGCGGACGGGUGAGUAAACGCCAUCGGAACGUGCCCAGGUAAGUGGGGGACAACCUCGAGAAAUCGAGGCUAAUACCGCAUACGACCCACGGGUGAAAGCGGGGGACCGCAAGGCCUCGCGCUAUUGGAGCGGCCGAUGUCCGAUUAGCUAGUUGGCGGGGUAAGAGCCCACCAAGGCGACGAUCGGUAGCUGGUCUGAGAGGACGACCAGCCACACUGGGACUGAGACACGGCCCAGACUCCUACGGGAGGCAGCAGUGGGGAAUUUUGGACAAUGGGGGCAACCCUGAUCCAGCCAUGCCGCGUGCGGGAAGAAGGCCUCGGUU